CUUUUGCCUGUUUGAAUUUACAGACACCUCGAAACAUGAAGAUGUAAUGGCUUCUAAGAGACGUAUCAAGGUCUGAUGCCUGAGACUUAUCACUGAUUUUCAAAAUGAAAAGUGUUGGUUGCUUCUGUGCAGAUAUGGAACGUGGUUAAAGUUUUAUAAUGGAAAAUCUGACAGGCAGUUAACUAAUCCAUGAGUCAUAUUUCGUAAGUGCCUAAAGGUCUCUGAUGUUCGACCUUCAUUUGAUACCCUUGCCAUCAUGGAGUUAUACAUAACCCAUCUGAAGAACAUUCUUUAUAUAGAUGACUGCAUGCUGCCCUUUUAUACCUGCAAGAAUGAGCGCUGCACUUACUGAAACAGGGAAGUCUACUGCCUGCCUUUCCACCCCUCUCUCUCUGUGGCUGUUUACAGAACUGCAGAGGUACGUUGAACGAAACUGACUUAAAUGACAGCAGUGGAAGACUUUCUGCUUAGUUUAAGUCCUCUGUAGGGCCUAGCUGAAAGGUAAGGAGAGGGGUGGGCAGAUGUUUUUGGAUUCUGUUUGCUUUUAUUUUGAAAGAUUUAAUCAUCAGUACAGCUCUAAUAAUGUACAUAGCAUUGGAGCUAUCAAUACUAACAGAACUCUGGUGUUUUUACCUGUCUGUAGCUCAGUUGGGCAUAAGGCAGGCCAGGCAGAUACAGAAUGAGACAACCUUUUGUCAGAUGAUCCCAAACGGGAAACCCACCUUUACUGACAACAGUGGCAGUGUGCCAGCAUUAGCAGUGUCGAGGUGUUUAUAGAAAGUCUUGAUGUGUAGAGGGCCCUUCUGGAGAACCUACUACUUUAUUCCUCAGCCAAAGGGUAGAAAAGCAACUAUUUGCUUUUUUGGGUACCAUAAGGAACUUCUCAAGUUGCCCAGUAUGACAGUAAAGAAUAUUGGCAUCGCUGUUAUUUUCAAAGCUAAAAUAAGGCAGACACAUGACUUCAGUAAGCACAUGUGAAGUUUGCAUAUCAUAAAUCAUUGCAAUAAAGAAACCAAAACAAAAUAGUAGUGUGUCGUUAAAGCUGGAAUAUGUUUUCCAUUAAAAAAAUUUCCUUUAGGUUUGAUUUGGCUUCUUUUUCACACCUGUGGAACAGUAAAGUAUUUCAGGAAUAGCUCAUUGCCAUUGUGAGACACAAAGUUCCAAUCUACAUGAAUGGACCCACGUACUGUAUAAAGUACAGCAGAAGGUCAUCUUAUUUUUCAAACACUCCAGCAACAGCAGCCUUUACUGCACUACCAAAUAGUAGGCAACAAUUAGAACAGCUGGGAAGACAAAUCAGAAAAAAGAAAGUGGAGGAAAAGAGCUGUGUCCCAAGCUUUUACUUUGGCUGCCAUUUUAAGAAGCGCACCCUUUUCCAUAAUAACAAUUUUGUAAUUGUGUUUUAAGAUCACAUCAGACAUUAGGGGUGAUACAUGUGCAGCAUGUGAGAUUCAUGCUGUGUGCUGAGAACUGCCCAGUGAGGGUCUGGCACAGUGGGAGGGGAAAGACGUGCAGCCUGCCUGUAGGCACCAGCAUGGAGGUUAGUCAUCCUGCUGAGUCAACAGGAGACACCAGCACCUCCAAAGGGUGCUUCUGCCUACUUGUCAUCUAAAGUUAGACAGCUAAAGUUGGUUGCUAAAAAGGAGCUGAGAUGAGGGAAAGGGUUUCACAGCAGAUGUAUCCGCCCCUCUGUCAGCAGUUCUACCUCUUCACCCACCUCUCUGCAUUUGCAUAGAGAAUGAUUCCUGGCUGGUAUUUUCAUGGAGUGAAUUCCCACUUAUCAGAACAUGAUAAUAGCUCGUGUUCCUUAUUUUCAGAGGUCUAGCUGUACAAGUAUUGACUUGUCAGACACAAAUUUCCAGGCAUCUAGACUCUGUUGCAACUAUCAGGAAGAGUUAGGGAUUUUCCAUCCUUGCAAAGAACUUUCCAAGAAAGUCAUCAGAAACAGUUGGAUAAACACACAGUGAAACUUGUAAAACUCCUGGCAAACUGACAGCACAGCCAGAAUUAGAAACUCUGAGCUUUUUUUUUUUUCUGAUGUGAUGCUGGUCACGUGUCUGGUGUUGAGAUAAACCUGGUGGAAGCAGCGAGGCCUAAACUCUAGGAGCCUUCAGUUUAGAGGCCUUUCCAUCCAGUUCUACUGUCUUAUGCCACAGCUUUGAGGUGUCUGAAAGUGUGCUGAAGGAUGCGCGUUGGUGUCAUUUGGGGUUCCUGCAGAAAGAAGGGCCCAACUACACCAAUCCUAUCAGCAGGCUAGGCCUGUUGAAACAAAUGCAACAUAAUAAGAUGCACUGCAACACUUGUCUGGUGGCCUGAAGCACUGCUUUCCCCAUUUGGCCUGCAGUACCCACUGAAGUCAGUGUAAUGAUCUCCAGCAGUUUAUCCUGGCUUUGGAUCAUGGCAUUCAUAGCAAACGUUUGUUUCUGAGUGCCAAGAAGACAGAGGAACUGUGUUGUACAACUGUUCCACAACACACUGCACUCUUAUUUGGGCUGAUUUUCUGUAUUUUUAAAAAUGUUUUGCUUUAUAAAAAGUCAUUUUCUUACUUUAAUCUCAGAAGAGAAUUUUCCAUUCUGUUCACCCUCCCUCUUUUUAUUACAGCAUUUGCUAUAAUUAAGCGCUAAAUUGUAAGAACAUCAUUACAUGGUUCUCUCUUUUUCCAAACUAUUCCUGGCACUGAGAAUUAAAAGAAAAUGUACCUUUUUAGUUAUGUGUGUAGCUCCACUGGCUUAUUCUCAUCUUUUGAUAGUGCUUUUCAGGCUGUCAACUUCCCCUUAUCCUCCUUGUUUCCUGAUUCCCUGAGCUUGUGUAGAAACUGAUGCUGCGGCAGGACAAGGUAAAGAACUGAAAAAUAAGUGAAGAAUUGUGACAGAAGAACUGGCAUUGCCCCAGGGACUCAUAUACUAAAACAUCUUGAAAAAAUCUUCUGAAAAACAGACCAGUUGUGAGUUGACAGUAUCCUUUUAAGAACAGUUUAUGUUGAAAGGUCCUAUGACCAAGUUUUGGCCAAGCACAAGUGUUAAUGAGUUUUUUGAAGUGAAAAGCAUUUAUAUAGACAAAAAUAGAUAGUACUGACAUGUCUCACAGUCAUUGUUUACAAUUUCUGUGUGAUCCCUUGUCCAGAUUUAUAAUGAACACUUGCUGUCCCAGCAGAACUUAAAACGUUUAUGGUUUUCUCUUUAAUGCUAUAAUUAAAAACAGGAUGAUUUUCAUGGGACUAGAAUAAUCUGUAAUUCUUGUGAGAGCUCUAUCUUUUAAGCAGCCUUAUCUAAGGUAUAAUCCUCACUGACCUAAGCAUGCAGAGACAUUUUUUACACUUCCUUAUGUCUUCAUUGAGCAAUUAUACACCCUUAGGGUUAUUUCAACCUGAUAUCUUUAGAUAUCUAAUCUCUCACUAGUUCUUCACAUUUUGUGGAUGAAUGGAUGCUCCUUAUCGUGCAACAAAAAGACCAGUCUGGCGUCCCUAGGGCAGACCAUGCAUUACAGCAGAACUCAGAGAGGCGUAAUUAUAGAGGACAGGUAGAAAGUUAGCUCCUCGAAUGGGAAUUUCUUUGCACUGGAAUACUUACCUAUUUUGAUGUCUGAUGUUUAAUUAGCACUGUUCCUCUACAAAUACAUUUCUGCCAUGCGGAAACUUUUAACUUGCUUUUAAAAGUUUUGUUCUGAAAAUGGUUCAUGUAAGGUAUUUGAACCUGCUUUGUCUAGUAGUAUUAAUAACCUGGGGCAGACAGUGUUUAUAUGGUACCAAGCACCAUGAUGGCACUUAGUAAAUAAUGAAAUAAAUCACAGGCUUUGUUUCUGUUUAAACACUGUGCUUGACCUCUGUGGAUAUCUUCUGGAUCCUGCUCAACAGCCUCAUUUGGGUGCAACUGGAUAUUGUGCCAAUUUUAUUCCAGCUCCAUUAACGUAUGGCAACAAUACAGACAGUACAUCGCCUGACAAAGAACUCAUAGUCCUCCUCUGGAUUUAUGUAGCAAGAUUUUGGCAGUGGGGUGGCCUGCAAGAAGCCAGCAGCUGCCCCGUGUCAGAUCACAGCCCUUGUAGGAGCAGCCCAGGCCUGAGCUGCAGCCCAUGGAGAGCAGCCUGCAGAGGGGCAGGAGGGCUGAGGGAGCUGCCGCCUGUGGGGAACCGUGUGGAGCAGUGCCUGAAGGGUGGGCUCCAUGGUACGGAGCUGUGUUGGAACAGUGCUGGGAGAGCUGCAGCAUGUGGAAAGCCCAUGUGGGAUCAGACCAGGAAGGAUGCCAUCCCAUGGGACGGACCCACACAGAACAGAAGCAGAGAGUGAUCAUGGAAGAGCAGAAGACAUGAAGCUUUAUGGACUGACCGCAGCCCCCUUUCCCUAUUCCCCUGUGCUCGUUGAGGGAAGGAGGUAGGAGUUGAGCCUGAGAAGAGGUGGGUGGAGGAGAGGUGUUGUCAGUCUGUUUUUAUUUCUCAUUGCCCUAUUACUAAUAGGCCAUAAAUAAAAUAAAUCUUUCCCAAGUAGCCUAUUUUGCUUGUGACAGUAAUCACUGAGUGGUCUCCCUAUCUUUCUCUCAACCGAUGAGCUUUUCCAUUGUAUUUUCUCUUUCUGAAGAGAAGUGAGAGAGCAGCUUGGUGAGCACCUAGUGACCUGCCAAUGUUAUCCCACCACAAAAACAAUAAAAUCCUAAGUCCUUGAGCCUGCACUAAGAAUACAGUCAUAGAAUCUCAAGGUUGGAAAGGACCUACAAGAUCAUCUAGUUCAACUGUCCUCCCAUUACCCUUGCUACCACAAGCCACUAAACCGUAUCUCUUAGCUCCUCAUCCAGACACCUCUUGAACACCACCAGGGAUAGUGACUCCACCACCUCCCUGAGCAGGCCAUUGCAGUGCCUGACCACUCUCUGAGAGAAAAAGUUUUUCCUUGUGUCUAAUAUCCACCAGGACUCCUAAUUUGUGUACAAGUAGAUGAGUAAAGUAGAAAAGGAAAGUGAUGAAUGCAUCUAAAGCAACAAUUACAGCACAGAGGAACCAUUGUGUCCAAACUCACUGCCCUGCUCCAGGCUUUGAGAUGUAUUCUGAAAAUACAGUUAUUCUACCGGUGAUGGAUGGGGUACCCAAGCACAUGAAAGCCAAUGUAGAAUUGAUGGUGUGAAGAAAACUCAUGUUAGUUAACUGUUUUAAAGUACAGAGUGGAGAGAAAUUGGAAGGAUAAGUGUUAACUGCACUGUACAAUGUUGGCCUUCCAGACCCACCUGCAGGUGCAGAAGCAGAGGGUGGACGUGCUGUAGAGAGGAACUGUGGGCUUUCCUUAGAACAGCCUGAGAGCAUUUCAGUAACCCCAGCGCUUAUGAUACGUCCCAGGGAAAUCAUACUGCAGCUGACUGCCUAGGUCACAUAUGUUUUUAAUAGAAACAUUGAAAAUUGUUUCAAGAUUGAGGCGUGUACAUGUUAAACGUUGAGGAGCUGAAGAACACAUAGAACUGUACUAAAUUGGUUUCUCAUACAGGCUGACAAAACACUCGGGAUGCAUCCUAAUCCCAAGUGCUCCCAUAAAAGCCUGCGUAUCCUUGUCCUCUCCAACCACCAAAUCAAUCUUAAACUUUUAGGCGAGGUUGCUGAACUUGCAGUCUGAUUUAAUCACUUUUCCGUCAGGAAUUGGCAAAGCUGAGAAAUAGUCUGUGGCUAACUUCAGCGUGUUUUAUAUGUUUGUGAUAUCUGUACUUUUCUAUUUUCAACGUAUAACUAAUAAAAAAAAUAAUCCCCAUUAUGCAUUUGUUAUGGAAUAAUAAUACUUACAGGAAUCAAAAGAUUACUACUAUAUGUCUUCUUUACUGCAGAAGGAGUUACAAUGAGGAGCCCUGAGGUGGCCCAGAGGGCAGGAAAGGACAACAUUCAAAACUCCAGCAACCAGUGAAAGAGGAAUUAAGGUAUUACUCACCGAAGCCUCUACAAAACCAGGCUUAAAUGCAGUUGGAAGCCUUUGCCAACUCUGGAACUCAAAUUAAAGUCUGCUAUCCCAGAAGCAAUAGCAGCCAGAGGGAAUUGGGAAGGGAUCAAGGAAGAGUGGGGUGGGAGACAAAAUCUCAAAGACCACCAAGAUGAGAGGUAUUCACCACCUUAGGCAUUAUCACACGAAGGCUGCAUGCCCUGCGGAGCCUUGAUUGCCCAACAGAAGUUAAUAUGUUGAGCACAGGGUUUCUUGGUCAGUUAUGGAGGAGGCCAAGCUAGACAAUCUGAGUCUGAAUAGUUUACAACGUGGAGUUUGAGUUUGAGCACCCUGCUGCUUGCUCUGUGAUAGUAGCUAUAGCAGUACUGAGUGGUAAAUGAGUGAGUAACGCAAGCUGGCAGAGCUGAGGCUGCAGUAAGAGGCACAUGCAUAUCUCGAUGGUUCAGGCAUGCCCCAUGUCAGCCGUGAAUUCUGCAGUUUGUGUUAAUAAGUGGAGCAUGCAAGUUGUCUGCUUGCCAUAGGGUGAGUGGCAGCCAGGCAGCCUGCAAAAAUGGAUGUCGUGGGGGCACCGAAACAAGGAGCUGAACGUACUAUCUUGAAAGAAAUCUCUACAGAAAGAAAAAAGGGAGAUACCAUUCUGCAUGUCUGGGCUAGUGUGAAUUCAUCAGGCUUUGUGUUUGAAUGGGAGCCAGGUGUAGCGUACAAGUAACUCCUGUUUGCUCUGCUUGACCUAAAUCCAAGUUUUGCUUUGUCAGGUUUUGUCCGACAUGUGUUCUGUUUCCCUACUGCGUAGUAACAGCGCUAGAGGCUGGGUGUUAGCACUGGCAAUCUGAUGAUUCAGUCACUCAAGUAUGAAGGCCAUACUGUGGCAAUAGGGAGGAAGUGAGGACGUGUAACCUUACCAUGUGUUUUGUGGUGGUCGAAGGUUUCAGUUCAUGCUGAAAGAAUUCUUAUUUGUGAAAUUUCAAAAGGAUUAAAUGCAGACUGUCCUUGCAUUCUAGACGGCAGUCAGGCACCACAAGCAACCUGCAUCUCUGCCAACAAUGCAUUUGGGGAUAUAAUGCCUUGUUCAGUUAUUUAUAAAUAGGCAUUUUCCAGGAUCGACACCUACCAGAGCCCAGCCAUCCACCUCCACUGCCUCCCUUUCCUUGGCAGCCAUUCCUGCAGCAGAAAUGCAUGGGUGGCAAGAGUCCUCCAGCUGUCCUCAUCUUCAGUCUCACUGGUUUGGGGGUGUUGUGGUGGUAAGAGAAGCAUCUGCUAUUCGAGACCCUGUCUUAAACAGCCACAUUGCCAUGAAUAAGUUUCCAGUGCUAAUAGUCAGGAACUGUAGCAGAUAGGAAGACUGCCAGCUCUUGGAUACACACUUCUGUUUGGGUCACAAGAGGAAGUCACCCUCUUGUACAAUAUCUGUGCAAACACCAAAUCCUACUCACCUCUGAUGUUCACAACAAGUUUGAGCUAAGCAAAGCACUCUACCCAUGGACAAUGCUAAGAUGCUGGUCAUCUCAGAAGAAGAUCAAGCGAGCUUGAUGUUGAAGGGAGAGUGUGAUAUAAUUGAUUGUGAGAUAUGAUGAGAUAAAUCAGGCAAUUGAAAUUACUCUUGGGUCCCAAACAUGGGUUGUAAGAUUUUUCCAAGCAGUGAAGACAUUCAGCGCGCUGCACAUUUCAGAGAUUGAGGUUUGAAACCUAACUAAACAAAUAAUGAAAAUUAAAAAAUAAAAAUAAAACCAAUAAUGAAAUGGAACAUUGUUGUGGUUUAACUCUGUUGGGCAGCUCAGCACCACACAGCUGCUCACUCACUCUCCCCACGUAGGAUUGGGGAGAGAAUUGGAAAGGUAAGCAAAACAAGGAAUUCAUUUACAGUUUCCCAUUGGCAGGCGGGUGUUCAGCCACAUCAGGAAAGCAGGGCUGAUCACCUGUAACAGUUUCUUGGGAAGAUAAAUUCCAUUACUUUGAAUGUUCCAGCCAUCCUCCUUCUUUCCCCUGCUGUUUUGUUGCUAACCAUGAUGACAUAUGGUAUGGGACAUCCCUUUGGCUAAUCUGGGUUGGCUGUCCUGGCUGUGUGUCCUCCUGACUCCUUGUGUCUCCCCAGCUCCUCAUUGCAGAGCAGUGUAAGAAGUGGAGAUGUCCUUGGCUGUGUGUAGCACAGCUCAGCAACAACUGAAAUGUCGGUGUGUUAUCACUGCUACUCAUAGAAUUGUGGAAUGGCCUUGGGUUGAAAAGGACCUCAAAGAUCAUUGAGUUUCAACCCCCCUGCUAUGUGCAGGGUCACCAACCACCAGACCAGGCUGCCCAGAGCCACAUCCAGCCUGGCCUUGAAUGCCUCCAGGGAUGGGGCAUCCACAACCUCUCUCUAUUUUCAUUGCAGAUCCAAAACACGGCAUCAUACAAGCCUCUGCAAAGAAAAUUAACUCUAUCCCAGCCAAAAUAUGACAAAUAUAAAAUCUACAAACCAAAGAAAAAAGGUGGCGACACGUCACAGGGAAGGGAUAAAAGCAACACUUUUGGUCUGAUUAGGUGUAAAACACAUAAUGUUCCCAGUGUUUUUUCUCCAUUCCAAGUCAAGAAGUAUGAAGAGGAAAAUCUUAGUGUAUGCUCCCCUUUGUGCAUUGCACCACAUAGAUACGUGAAGGAAGCCAAGCUCACAUACCAUGUAGGUAUUGUAGUGACAUGCAGGUGUCACUACAGUGUGACAGUUAGAACUAUUGCCACUCCCAGAAGAACAAGGAAAUAUUCAUAAUGUGACCACGGAGAUGGGGGAAGAAGUGGCUGUAUCUUGACAACCCCAGAUCAAAUGUUAAUUCUAAGCAAAAGUUCAUUCUAUUAUAGGUUGUCAGGUGCCAAAUAACAGGCCAAAAACAUAUCUUGAAAGCCAGAGAAUAAUUGCCCAUGAUAUCUGGAUCAAUAUCUCAGUACACAGUGCUCCAGGCACAGAGGGUUACCAGCUCUACUGUGAGGGAACUAAGAGAAAAAAAAUUCAGUGCAUU
ensembl:lncRNA